UACGUAGGGAGCAAGCGUUGUCCGGAAUCAUUGGGCGUAAAGCGCGCGUAGGUGGCCAUUUAAGUCCGCUGUGAAAGUCAAAGGCUCAACCUUUGAAAGCCGGUGGAUACUGGGUGGCUAGAGUACGGAAGAGGCGAGUGGAAUUCCUGGUGUAGCGGUGGAAUGCGCAGAUAUCAGGAGGAACACCGAUGGCGAAGGCAGGUCUCUGGGCCACUACUGACGCUGAGAAGCGAAAGCAUGGGGGGCAAACAGG
rnacentral:rRNA from 1 species